rnacentral:lncRNA from 1 species
AUGUUGAACAGUUUUAUCUUGCCUCUCACCAACAUAGUGUCUGAAUCUUCUUCAUGUAAAAACCCUAGCAAUCGUCAUGGUUUUGGCACUUUGCACUCACAGCAGAGCUGCACAUGCCAUAGGGGACUUGCUGCUGCUUGGCUACUUCUCCCUUGUUUAAAGAUUGGAGCUGAUAGCAACCAACCAAUCAGAAGUGAAAAAUUACAUGGGGGCAUCUCAACUCUGUUCCCGGCUCUAUCUUUGGAAAGGCUGCCAGGACAAGAUGCGCUGAACCGACCUGACAACCCACGACCCUAUGGUCAGAACCUACAAAAGUCUCAGAGGGAAGAUCCUGCUGCAGAGAUUUCCCCAUUUGCUCCACCUCACGCACAGGUGGCAGCCGUGUUUCCGCACCGGGUGCAUCUGCCAGUGGUAUCAUUUGCCAUGAAGUUACACUGA